UGAGGAAUAUUGGGCAAUGCCCGCAAGGGUGACCCAGCAACGCCGCGUGGAGGAUGAAUGUCGUAAGAUUGUAAACUCCUGUUAGAGGGGAAGAAUAGUACCGGUUGGACCGGUAUAUGACUGUACCCUCAGAGAAAGCCCCUGCUAACUACGUGCCAGCAGCCGCGGUAAUACGUCGGGGGCAAGCGUUGUCCGGAUUCACUGGGUGUAAAGGGCGCGCAGGCGGGAUAAAAAGUCAGUGGUGAAAUCCUACAGCUUAACUGUAGAACUGCCUGUGAUACUUUUAUUCUUGAGUUCGGGAGAGAGAGACGGAAUUCCAGGGGUGGUGGUGAAAUACGUAGAUAACUGGAAGAACACCAGUUGCGAAGGCGGUCUCUUGGUCCGACACUGACGCUGAGGCGCGAAAGCGUGGGGAGCAAACA
rnacentral:rRNA from 1 species